rnacentral:rRNA from 1 species
AUUGAACGCUGGCGGCAUGCCUAACACAUGCAAGUCGAACGGCAGCAUGCUCUAGCUUGCUAGAGUGAUGGCGAGUGGCGAACGGGUGAGUAACGCGUAGGAAUAUGCCUUGAAGUGGGGGACAACUUGGGGAAACUCAAGCUAAUACCGCAUAAUUUCUUUGGAAAAAGCUAGGGACCUUCGGGCCUGGUGCUUCAAGAUUAGCCUGCGUCCGAUUAGCUAGUUGGUAGGGUAAGGGCCUACCAAGGCGACGAUCGGUAACUGGUCUGAGAGGAUGAUCAGUCACACUGGAACUGAGACACGGUCCAGACUCCUACGGGAGGCAG